GCGGGCGUAGUAUAUCGGCUAUUAUGUGUGCUUCCCAAGCAUGAGAGGAGGGUUCGAUUCCCUCCGCCCGCACCA
rnacentral:tRNA from 1 species